AUGCCGCGCCGCCGCUCCCGCUCCCGCUCCCGCCGCCCCACCGCCGCCUCUCGGCUGGAGGCGCCCGAGGGCCGCCCGGCCUACGUCUGCGCGUCCAAGUCCCUCGACUACCCCGUCCCGGCGUCUGCGCUCCGCCACUGGGCUCCGGACCCCCCGGAGGUCAGCUCUGGCCGCCCGCGCCGCGGGUCCACGGUGUACGUGCAGAUGACACCCGAGAUGGACCUCGAGGCCAGGCGCAUCGGCUACGCGUUCAUCGCCCCCGACCCCGAGGCCGCUGGUCUCGAGGACGCGGACACGAAGGCCCUCGUCCGCUCCGCCAUCCACGCCACGGCGCCGGACCUGCAGUUCGAGCUCUUCGCCGUCUCCCCAAUGAUGGCCGACAUGUGCCUGCGCUUCGCCUUGCCGGAGGACCGCGUGGCGGCCAUGGCCAAACAGCCGUUCGAGCUCGACGGCUACUCCGUACAAAUCGGCCCUGACCCGAAGAGCUGCAUCCAGUCCCGGCUGGACUACCUCGUCCACAUCAACCUGCACAACUACCCCAAGGAGGAGCGCACGGAGAAAGACAUCCACUCCAACUGCUCAAGCAUCGGCCACGUGGUCGAGAUCGACCCCGCCUGCUUCACCGCGCCGGACCUCUCCCCGCUCGGGCUCGUCGUCCAGUUGAAGCACCCUCGCGAAAUCGCCCGCGAGCUCCGGAUCCAAUACGUUGGGUGGUAUGGCAGCGGCCAAGUCUGUCCCAGGGAAGUCGCUCGCACCAUCAUGCCAGUCGAGAUCGUCAAGGUCUGGGACCUGUCUCGGUCCAACGACGGCAACGGGGGAUACGUGUCUCCGUUCAAGCCCUCGCCGCAGGUCGUGCCGGACGGGCAGCCGGCGGCAGCAGAAGAACUGCGACCCGUCCCGGGCUCCCGGCUGGACUACCUCGUCCACAUCAACCUGCACAACUACCCGAGGGAGGGGUGGACGGAGAAAGACAUCAGCUCCAACUGCUCCAGCAUCGGGCUCGUCGUCGAGAUUGACCCCGCCUGCUUCGCCGCGCCUGAGCUCUCCAGGCUCCGCCUGGUCGUCCGGCUGGAGAACCCUUGCGACAUCCCCCACGAGCUCCGGAUCAAGUGCGGUGGUUGGAAUGGCAGCGGCGGCGUAUGUCCCAGGGAAGGCCCUCACAGCGUCGUACGCGUCGAGAUCGUGAAGGUCUGGGACGAGUCUCCGUCCAACGGCGGCAAUGGCGGAAGAUACGUGUCUCCCUUCAAGCCCUCGCCAGCGGGGGCGCUGUAG
rnacentral:rRNA from 1 species